rnacentral:lncRNA from 1 species
CUUUGUCUUGUAUAUUUAUUUGUGUUUGCUGGACUCUUUCCUUUUGGGAAUCUGAAGAUGCAAGUUGAACUGAAAUAUGGAGAUGCACCAUCUUUUUCUCUUUAUAUGCCUAUCUUAAUAAUGCUAUGUGUAUUGCUGUGUGUGCAAGGGCAUGUGUCAAAUGUUAAAGACGUAUUUCUUCUCUCACCAGAAGUUGGAUAUAUAUGAUAAUUUCCAAUAUCCUCGGCCACAAGAUGAGAAUAUUAUUUUCCUUUGUCCUUAUGACGUGAUAUGAAUUGAAAACAGUACGGUACUUACCUUACCAUUGUUAUCUCAUGUUUAUUUUGUGAGAUUAAGAUUUCUGUAACACUAAAUCUGAGUUCGUGGUAACUUGCAGUGAUCUUGUUGAUAUGGGUCCUAGUCGAUGAUAAGGUUCGGUCCGAUGGGAGUUCUAGUCUAAAGUCCAAGCAUUGAUCCUUCAAAACAAGAAACAUGUUAGAAGGACCUCCAGGAGUCGGUAAGGGUCUUGGAUUGAGGAGAAAGCAUCUCUCUAGGCUUUUCCCUAGUUUUUUUUUUAAUUUUUUAAUUUAUUUUGGGGUAGAAUGAAAUUAUGUUUUUUCUCAAAAGCACUGAGACAUCUGGAAGAAGGGGAG